GUGUCAGCAGCCGCGGUAAGACGAACCGAGCGAACGUUGUUCGGAAUCACUGGGCUUAAAGGGCGCGUAGGCGGGCUGUCAAGUCUGGGGUGAAAUCCCACGGCUCAACCGUGGAACUGCCUUAGAUACUGACGGCCUCGAGGGAGAUAGGGGCGAGCGGAACUGUGAGUGGAGCGGUGAAAUGCGUUGAUAUUCACAGGAACUCCGGUGGCGAAGGCGGCUCGCUGGAUCUUUUCUGACGCUGAGGCGCGAAAGCUAGGGGAGCAAACGGGAUUAGAUACCCCCGUAGUCC
rnacentral:rRNA from 1 species